rnacentral:tRNA from 1 species
GAGCGGAUAGGGUUCUGGUGUCCCUCAUGGACUUCAAAUCCAGUGUUGCCCCGACACAAUCGGGGCAGGGUGGGUUCGAUUCCCACACGCUCCC